AUUCCAGCUCCAAUAGCGUAUAUUAAAGUUGUUGCAGUUAAAAAGCUCGUAGUUGGAUUUCUGGUGCAUUCCACUGGCCUAUUGGUUAACUCCAACUUGGCUCAUUUGGAAUACGCCAUCUUUAGGCAGACCCGUCGUGGCAUUAGGUUGUCGUGAUGGUUACGCCUAUCGUUUACUGUGAAGAAAUUAGGGUGUUCAAAGCAGGCUUAUGCCAUGAAUACGUUAGCAUGGAAUAAUGAGAUAGGAUUUUGGUACUAUUUUGUUGGUUUGUGUACGGAAAUAAUGAUUAACAGGAAUAGUGUUGUGGGUAUUCGUAUUUCGUUGUCAGAGGUGAAAUUCUUGGAUUUAUGGAAGACGAACUGCUGCGAAAGCGUCGAACAAGGACGUUCUCAUUG
rnacentral:rRNA from 1 species